rnacentral:rRNA from 1 species
AACGAACGCUGGCGGCAUGCCUAACACAUGCAAGUCGAACGGGACCUUCGGGACUGGUGGCUCACGCGUGCGUCACGCGUGGGAACCUGCACGUAUGUUCCGGAUACCUCCCUGUCAGGGGUGCUAAUAUCGGGUAAUUUCUGCGAACCCCAGAUUCGUCGCCUUUGGAUGGGCACGCGUUGUCUUAGCUUGUGGGUAGUGUAAAAGCCUACCACGGCGUCGCUCGUUAGCUGGUCUGAGAGGAAGGGCAGCCACACUGGGUGGGAGACACGGCGCAGACUCCUAGGGGAGGCGGGAGUGGGGAAUAUUGCACUAUGGGCUAAAGCCAGAACCAGCAAUGCCGCGUGAGUGAUGAAGGCCUGAGGGAAGUAAAGCUCUUUUACCCGGGAUGAUAAUGACAGUACCGGGAGAAUAAGCACCGGCUAACUCCGUG